rnacentral:rRNA from 1 species
UCGAUUCCCUUAGUAGCGGCGAGCGAAACGGGAAGAGCCCAAACCAACAAGCUUGCUUGUUGGGGUUGUAGGACACUCUAUACGGAGUUACAAAGGACGACAUUAGACGAAUCAUCUGGAAAGAUGAAUCAAAGAAGGUAAUAAUCCUGUAGUCGAAAAUGUUGUCUCUCUUGAGUGGAUCCUGAGUACGACGGAGCACGUGAAAUUCCGUCGGAAUCUGGGAGGACCAUCUCCUAAGGCUAAAUACUCUCUAGUGACCGAUAGUGAACCAGUACCGUGAGGGAAAGGUGAAAAGCACCCCGGAAGGGGAGUGAAAUAGAACCUGAAACCGUGUGCUUACAAGUAGUCAGAGCCCGUUAAUGGGUGAUGGCGUGCCUUUUGUAGAAUGAACCGGCGAGUUACGAUUUGAUGCAAGGUUAAGCAGUAAAUGUGGAGCCGUAGCGAAAGCGAGUCUGAAUAGGGCGUUUAGUAUUUGGUCGUAGACCCGAAACCAGGUGAUCUACCCUUGGUCAGGUUGAAGUUCAGGUAACACUGAAUGGAGGACCGAACCGACUUACGUUGAAAAGUGAGCGGAUGAACUGAGGGUAGCGGAGAAAUUCCAAUCGAACCUGGAGAUAGCUGGUUCUCUCCGAAAUAGCUUUAGGGCUAGCCUCAAGUGAUGAUUAUUGGAGGUAGAGCACUGUUUGGACGAGGGGCCCCUCUCGGGUUACCGAAUUCAGACAAACUCCGAAUGCCAAUUAAUUUAACUUGGGAGUCAGAACAUGGGUGAUAAGGUCCGUGUUCGAAAGGGAAACAGCCCAGACCACCAGCUAAGGUCCCAAAAUAUAUGUUAAGUGGAAAAGGAUGUGGCGUUGCCCAGACAACUAGGAUGUUGGCUUAGAAGCAGCCAUCAUUUAAAGAGUGCGUAAUAGCUCACUAGUCGAGUGACACUGCGCCGAAAAUGUACCGGGGCUAAACAUAUUACCGAAGCUGUGGAUUGUCCUUUGGACAAUGGUAGGAGAGCGUUCUAAGGGCGUUGAAGCAUGAUCGUAAGGACAUGUGGAGCGCUUAGAAGUGAGAAUGCCGGUGUGAGUAGCGAAAGACGGGUGAGAAUCCCGUCCACCGAUUGACUAAGGUUUCCAGAGGAAGGCUCGUCCGCUCUGGGUUAGUCGGGUCCUAAGCUGAGGCCGACAGGCGUAGGCGAUGGAUAACAGGUUGAUAUUCCUGUACCACCUAUAAUCGUUUUAAUCGAUGGGGGGACGCAGUAGGAUAGGCGAAGCGUGCGAUUGGAUUGCACGUCUAAGCAGUAAGGCUGAGUAUUAGGCAAAUCCGGUACUCGUUAAGGCUGAGCUGUGAUGGGGAGAAGACAUUGUGUCUUCGAGUCGUUGAUUUCACACUGCCGAGAAAAGCCUCUAGAUAGAAAAUAGGUGCCCGUACCGCAAACCGACACAGGUAGUCAAGAUGAGAAUUCUAAGGUGAGCGAGCGAACUCUCGUUAAGGAACUCGGCAAAAUGACCCCGUAACUUCGGGAGAAGGGGUGCUCUUUAGGGUUAACGCCCAGAAGAGCCGCAGUGAAUAGGCCCAAGCGACUGUUUAUCAAAAACACAGGUCUCUGCUAAACCGUAAGGUGAUGUAUAGGGGCUGACGCCUGCCCGGUGCUGGAAGGUUAAGAGGAGUGGUUAGCUUCUGCGAAGCUACGAAUCGAAGCCCCAGUAAACGGCGGCCGUAACUAUAACGGUCCUAAGGUAGCGAAAUUCCUUGUCGGGUAAGUUCCGACCCGCACGAAAGGCGUAACGAUUUGGGCACUGUCUCAACGAGAGACUCGGUGAAAUCAUAGUACCUGUGAAGAUGCAGGUUACCCGCGACAGGACGGAAAGACCCCGUGGAGCUUUACUGUAGCCUGAUAUUGAAAUUCGGCACAGCUUGUACAGGAUAGGUAGGAGCCUUUGAAACGUGAGCGCUAGCUUACGUGGAGGCGCUGGUGGGAUACUACCCUAGCUGUGUUGGCUUUCUAACCCGCACCACUUAUCGUGGUGGGAGACAGUGUCAGGCGGGCAGUUUGACUGGGGCGGUCGCCUCCUAAAAGGUAACGGAGGCGCUCAAAGGUUCCCUCAGAAUGGUUGGAAAUCAUUCAUAGAGUGUAAAGGCAUAAGGGAGCUUGACUGCGAGACCUACAAGUCGAGCAGGGUCGAAAGACGGACUUAGUGAUCCGGUGGUUCCGCAUGGAAGGGCCAUCGCUCAACGGAUAAAAGCUACCCCGGGGAUAACAGGCUUAUCUCCCCCAAGAGUUCACAUCGACGGGGAGGUUUGGCACCUCGAUGUCGGCUCAUCGCAUCCUGGGGCUGUAGUCGGUCCCA